rnacentral:rRNA from 1 species
AUGAAGACCUUCCUCAUCUUUGCCCUCCUCGCCGUUGCGGCAACAAGUGCCAUUGCACAAAUGGAGAAUAGCCACAUCCCUGGUUUGGAGAAACCAUCGCAGCAACAACCAUUACCACUGCAACAAACAUUAUCGCACCAACAACAACAACAACCUGUCCAACAACAACCACAACCAUUUCCACAACAGCAACCAUGUUCACAGCAACAACAACCACCAUUAUCGCAGCAACAACAACCACCAUUUUCACAACAACAACCACCAUUUUCGCAGCAACAACAACCAUCAUUUUCGCAGCAACAACAACCACCAUUUUCACAGCAACAACCACCAUUUUCGCAGCAACAACAACCAGUUCUACCGCAACAACCAUCAUUUUCGCAGCAACAACUACCACCAUUUUCACAGCAACAACCACCGUUUUCGCAACAACAACAACCAGUACUACCGCAACAACCACCAUUUUCGCAACAACAACAACCAAUUCUACCGCAACAACCACCAUUUUCGCAACAACAACAACAACCAGUUCUACCGCAACAACAAAUACUAUUUGUUCAUCCAUCUAUCUUGCAGCAGCUAAACCCAUGCAAGGUAUUCCUCCAGCAGCAAUGCAGCCCUGUGGCAAUGCCACAAAGUCUUGCUAGGUCGCAAAUGUUGCAGCAGAGCAGUUGCCAUGUGAUGCAACAACAAUGUUGCCAGCAGUUGCUGCAAAUCCCCCAGCAAUCCCGCUAUGAGGCAAUCCGUGCUAUCAUCUACUCCAUCAUCCUGCAAGAACAACAACAGGUUCAGGGUUCCAUCCAAACUCAGCAGCAGCAACCCCAAGAGUUGGGCCAAUGUGUUUCCCAACCCCAACAGCAGUCGCAGCAGCAACUCGGGCAACAACCUCAACAACAACAAUUGGCACAGGGUACCUUUUUGCAGCCACACCAGAUAGCUCAGCUUGAGGUGAUGACUUCCAUUGCGCUCCGUACCCUACCAACGAUGUGCCGUGUCAAUGUGCCGUUGUAUAGAACCACCACUAGUGUGCCAUUCGGCGUUGGCGCCGGAGUUGGUGCCUACUGAUAA